GCCGUUGAAUCGAUUUAACAAUUCAACUGUCUUGUAAACAGUAGGUCAUCCGUUCGAUUCGGAUAAGCGGCACCA
rnacentral:tRNA from 1 species